AACGAACGCUGGCGGCAUGCCUAACACAUGCAAGUCGAACGAGACCUUCGGGUCUAGUGGCGCACGGGUGCGUAAAGCGUGGGAACCUGCCCUUAGGUUCGGAAUAACUCCCCGAAAGGGGUGCUAAUACCGGAUAAUGUCUUCGGACCAAAGAUUUAUCGCCUUUGGAUGGGCCCGCGUUGGAUUAGCUAGUUGGUAGGGUAAAAGCCUACCAAGGCGACGAUCCAUAGCUGGUCUGAGAGGAUGAUCAGCCACACUGGGACUGAGACACGGCCCAGACUCCUACGGGAGGCAGCAGUGGGGAAUAUUGGACAAUGGGCGAAAGCCUGAUCCAGCAAUGCCGCGUGAGUGAUGAAGGCCUUAGGGUUGUAAAGCUCUUUUACCCGGGAUGAUAAUGACAGUACCGGGAGAAUAAGCACCGGCUAACUCCGUG
rnacentral:rRNA from 1 species